rnacentral:rRNA from 1 species
GAUGAACGCUGGCGGCGUGCCUAAUACAUGCAAGUCGAGCGAACGGACGAGAAGCUUGCUUCUCUGAUGUUAGCGGCGGGCGGGUGAGUAACACGUGGAUAACCUACCUAUAAGACUGGGAUAACUUCGGGAAACCGGAGCUAAUACCGGAUGAUAUUUUGAACCGCAUGGUUCAAAAGUGAAAGACGGUCUUGCUGUCACUUAUAGAUGGAUCCGCGCUGCAUUAGCUAGUUGGUAAGGUAACGGCUUACCAAGGCAACGAUGCAUAGCCGACCUGAGAGGGUGAUCGGCCACACUGGAACUGAGACACGGUCCAGACUCCUACGGGAGGCAGCAGUAGGGAAUCUUCCGCAAUGGGCGAAAGCCUGACGGAGCAACGCCGCGUGAGUGAUGAAGGUCUUCGGAUCGUAAAACUCUGUUAUUAGGGAAGAACAUAUGUGUAAGUAACCGUGCACAUCUUGACGGUACCUAAUCAGAAAGCCACGGCUAACUACGUG